rnacentral:rRNA from 1 species
UUAAGGUCUAAUCUGCCCUAUGAGGAAUUAAAUGGCCGCGGUAUUUUGACCGUGCAAAGGUAGCAUAAUAAUUAGUUUUUUAAUUGAAAGCUGGAAUGAAUGAUUGGACGAGAAAAUAACUGUUUCAAUUUAAUUUUUUUAGAAUUUUAUUUUUAAGUUAAAAAGCUUAGAUUUUAUUAAAAGACGAGAAGACCCUAUAGAGUUUUAUAUUUGAUUAAUUAUUAAUUUUUAAGUUUAUUUUUAUUGAUACUUAAUUAGAUAUUUUAUUGGGGCGAUAGGAAAAUAUUAUUAACUUUUUUUACUUAAAGUCAUUAAUUUAUGAUUGAUUGAUCCAUUAUUUAUGAUUAUAAGAAUAAGUUACCUUAGGGAUAACAGCGUAAUUUUUCUUUAGAGUUCUUAUCGAAAGAAGGGAUUGCGACCUCGAUGUUGGAUUAAAGUUAAUAUUUGGUGUAGAAGCUAAAUAAUUAGGUCUGUUCGACCUUUAAAACUUUACA